AACAAGGCGUACCUGCGGACCUGCGGAGGGAUCAUUCAAAAAAUUCAUAAUAAUGAUACACCCUUUGUGUGCACUCGUAUUAUUACCCCCCAUUUUGGCAUGACUCUUAACAUCGGGGGCCUGGCUUUGCUAGGCCCUGAGUUAAGUCCCUACCUUGGCGUCAGUCUCGGUAGGAAGCGCAUGCCAGAGUGGUUUAUAAUCAACUCGUUUUUUUGUCUAUGUAUCGUCUGAACUUGAUUU
rnacentral:misc_RNA from 1 species